rnacentral:rRNA from 1 species
GAUGAACGCUGGCGGCGUGCCUAAUACAUGCAAGUCGAGCGAACAGAUAAGGAGCUUGCUCCUUUGACGUUAGCGGCGGACGGGUGAGUAACACGUGGGUAACCUACCUAUAAGACUGGAAUAACUCCGGGAAACCGGGGCUAAUGCCGGAUAACAUUUAGAACCGCAUGGUUCUAAAGUGAAAGAUGGUUUUGCUAUCACUUAUAGAUGGACCCGCGCCGUAUUAGCUAGUUGGUAAGGUAACGGCUUACCAAGGCAACGAUACGUAGCCGACCUGAGAGGGUGAUAGGCCACACUGGAACUGAAACACGGUCCAGACUCCUACGGGAGGCAGCAGUAGGGAAUCUUCCGCAAUGGGCGAAAGCCUGACGGAGCAACGCCGCGUGAGUGAUGAAGGUCUUCGGAUCGUAAAACUCUGUUAUUAGGGAAGAACAAAUGUGUAAGUAACUAUGCACGUCUUGACGGUACCUAAUCAGAAAGCCACGGCUAACUACGUG